GUUGAACGCUGGCGGCAUGCCUAACACAUGCAAGUCGAGCGAUUCUCUUCGGAGAAGAGCGGCGGACGGGUGAGUAACGCGUGGGUAACCUGCCUCAUACACAUGGAUAACAUACCGAAAGGUAUGCUAAUACAAGAUGAUAUAAGAGAUUCGCAUGGAUUUCUUAUCAAAGCUCCGACGGUAUGAGAUGGACCCGCGUCUGAUUAGCUAGUUGGUAAGGUAACGGCUUACCAAGGCGACGAUCAGUAGCCGACCUGAGAGGGUGAUCGGCCACAUUGGAACUGAGACACGGUCCAAACUCCUACGGGAGGCAGCAGUGGGGAAUAUUGCACAAUGGGCGAAAGCCUGAUGCAGCAACGCCGCGUGAGUGAUGAAGGCCUUCGGGUCGUAAAACUCUGUCCUCAAGGAAGAUAAUGACGGUACUUGAGGAGGAAGCCCCGGCUAACUACGUGCCAGCAGCCGCGGUAACAC
rnacentral:rRNA from 1 species